rnacentral:rRNA from 1 species
AUGGGUUCCCUCACAAGUUCUUCCUGGGUGACGAGCUUGUGUGGGAGCCCGAUAUGCUCCGGCCAAGACGCCACCUCAUGCGCUUUGAAGCAAAUGUUCGACUCCUCCACCUGCACCAACCAUCUGGUGGCCACCGGCAUCGCCGCGCUGCUCGUGCUCGCGCUCGCACUCCAGGUGCUUGUGAAAAUUCCGCACAGCAGAGCGUCUGCGCGGCAGCUCGUCACGCUCGGCUCACCGCUGCACCUCUCUGCCGUGGUGUUCACCGGCUGCUUGGGUUUGGUUUAUCUUGGGCUAGGACUCUGGAUGCUGGGGAGUGACUUCAGUCAGGAUGCCUCUGUUGUUCACCUUCCACAUUGGUGGCUUGUGACGUCAUCUCAGGGUCUGAAUCUGAUCCUUACCAGCUUGGCUUUCAGCAUCAGGCCUCGCUUUCUUGGCGCAGGAUUCGUCAGGUCUUGGCCGGUCUUGCUGACCGUCUAUGCAGCAUUCGUUUGUUGCUCUUCAGUUGUUGUUAUUGUUGCAGAGAAGAUGAUCACCGUCAAGGGCUGUUUGGAUGUUCUGUACUUUCCAGGUGCAGUGGUCCUCCUCAUUUAUGGCAUUCGGCACAGCCAUGACGAAGAGGGCUAUGGAGAAAGUGGCAAUGGUUUAUACAAGCCCCUCAACACGGACACAGACGGUGAGGCAGCUGAUUCUGAGGCUCAUCAGGUCACUCCCUUUGCUACUGCUGGUUUUUUCAGUGAGAUGUCGUUUUGGUGGUUGAAUCCUCUGAUGAAGAAGGGCUAUGAGAAUCCCCUUGAGGACAAAGACAUGCUUCUUUUAGGCGCCACAGAUCGAGCGCAAAACCAGUACUCGAUGCUCAUGGAGAAGCUGAAUUGCAGGAAGCAGUCGCCGGCGCACGCCACACCAUCAUUCUUCUGGACUAUUGUUUCUUGUCACAAGCGUGCCGUCGUGGUCUCGGGUUUCUUUGCUUUGCUCAAGGUUCUCACCUUAUCCACUGGCCCAGUAAUUCUCAAGGCAUUCAUCAAUGUAUCACUUGGGAAAGGGACCUUUAAAUACGAAAGCUAUGCGCUGGCUGCAUUAUUGUUCGUCUGCAAAUGCUGUGAAUCAUUGUCGGAGAGACAGUGGUAUUUCCGCACUCGGAGAUUAGGACUGCAGGUGAGGUCACUCCUGUCAGCAGCUAUUUAUAAGAAACAACAGAAGCUAUCAAACUCCGCAAAAAUGAAGCACUCUUCUGGACAAAUUAUGAACUAUGUGACCGUCGAUGCCUAUCGGAUUGGGGAAUUCCCAUAUUGGUUCCAUCAAACAUGGACAACAAUUGUUCAGCUUUGCAUUGCUCUGGCAAUUCUAUACAAUGCGGUUGGUGCUGCAAUGAUUUCAUCAUUGGUUGUCAUCAUUCUCACUGUACUCUGCAAUGCUCCACUGGCCAGAUUCCAACACAAAUUUCAGAGUAAACUUAUGGAAGCACAAGAUGUGAGAUUGAAGGCCAUGUCUGAGUCACUAGUUCAUAUGAAGGUCUUGAAACUUUAUGCAUGGGAAGCCCACUUCAAGAAGGUCAUCGAGGGGUUGAGGGAAGUUGAGUACAAGUGGUUGUCAGCAUUCCAGCUUUGGAGGGCAUACAACAGUUUCUUGUUCUGGGCUUCUCCUGCUUUGGUUUCUGUGGCAACCUUUGUAACAUGCUAUCUUUUGAAAAUCCCUCUUGAUGCUAGCAAUGUAUUCACCUUUGUGGCAACUCUACGUCUCGUGCAAGACCCAGUUAGGACGAUACCGGAUGUUAUUGCUGUUGUGAUACAAGCUAAGGUUGCUUUCACUCGGAUAUCAAAGUUCCUUGAUGCACCUGAGCUAAACGGGCAAGUUAGGAAGAAAUAUUAUGGUGGCAUUGAUUACCCUAUAGCGAUGAAUUCGUGUAGCUUCUCGUGGGAUGAGAAUACAUCAAAACAAACUCUAAAGAAUAUAAAUCUCGCAGUCAAAGCUGGAGAAAAGGUUGCAAUUUGUGGAGAGGUUGGAUCAGGAAAGUCGACACUUUUGGCGGCUGUACUCGGAGAGGUCCCCAAAACUGAAGGCACGAUCCAAGUCUGUGGGAAAAUAGCAUAUAUUUCUCAGAAUGCAUGGAUCCAAACAGGAACUGUGCAAGACAAUAUUCUCUUUGGAUCGUCGAUGGACAAGCAAAGAUACCACAACACACUUGCGAGGUGCUCAUUGGUCAAGGACCUUGAAUUGUUGCCAUAUGGAGAUUGUACUCAAAUUGGAGAGAGAGGAGUAAAUCUUAGUGGUGGUCAGAAGCAGCGCGUCCAGCUUGCUCGUGCACUAUACCAAAAUGCAGACAUCUAUCUUCUUGAUGACCCUUUCAGUGCUGUUGAUGCCCAUACAGCCACAAGUCUCUUCAAUGAAUAUGUCAUGAGUGCCCUAUCAGACAAGACCGUUCUUCUGGUGACUCACCAAGUGGAUUUUCUACCUGUAUUUGACUCCAUUUUGUUAAUGUCAGAUGGACAGGUUAUUCGGUCUGCACCUUAUCAAGAUCUAUUGGCAGAUUGUGAAGAAUUUAAAGACCUUGUAAAUGCCCAUAAAGAUACUAUGGGUGUUUCGCAUCGUAAGAACAACAUACCCCAUCAAAGAUCUAAGGAAGUAUCAAUAAAGGAGACAGAUGGUAUUCAUGGAAGUAGAUAUACAGAGUCUGUGAAGCUAUCACCGGCAUAUCAACUAAUCAAGAAAGAGGAAAGAGAAACAGGGGAUGCAGUUUUCAAGUCUUAUAUGCUUUACCUGCGCCAGAAGAAAGGCUUCCUGUAUUUCUUCUUGUGUAUGAUUUCUCACAUAAUUUUCGUAGCUGGGCAGAUACUACAGAAUUCAUGGAUGGCUGCUAAUGUCCAAAAUCCUCAUGUUAGCACACUGAAGUUAAUUUCUGUGUACAUUAUUAUCGGAGCUUGCACAAUGAUCUUCUUGCUAUCAAGAUCUUUAACAGUCGUUGCUCUUGGGAUCCAGUCAUCAAGAUCCUUAUUUUCCCAGCUACUCAAUUCAUUGUUCCGUGCACCAAUGUCCUUUUUUGAUUCUACACCUCUAGGAAGGGUUCUUAGCCGGGUCUCUUCAGAUUUGAGUAUCGUUGACCUUGAUAUUCCAUUUGCAUUAGUGGUUAGCCUUGGCACCAGCUUAAAUGCAUGUAGCAAUCUAGGGGUAUUGGCUGUUGUUACAUGGCAAGUUCUGUUUGUAUCCGUGCCAAUGAUAGUUUUGGCAAUUAGGUUGCAGAGGUACUAUCUAGCAUCGGCCAAGGAAUUAAUGCGGAUCAAUGGUACUACAAAGUCCGCCCUAGCGAGUCACUUAGGUGAAUCGAUUGCAGGGGCUAUAACGAUAAGGGCCUUUGAGGGAGAAGAUCGUUUCUUUGCUAAAAAUUUGGAUCUUGUUGACAAGAAUGCCAGCCCAUAUUUCUGUAAUUUUGCAGCAACUGAAUGGUUGAUUCAACGUAUAGAAAUAAUGAGCGCCGUAGUUCUUUCUUCUUCUGCCUUUGUCAUGGCUCUUCUUCCUCAAGAAACUUUUAGCCCUGGUUUUGUGGGAAUGGCAUUGUCCUAUGGUCUUUCGCUAAAUACAUCAUUUGUUUCCUUUACUCAAAGCCAGUGCAACCUUGGGAAUCAAAUAAUCUCGGUGGAACGGGUGAGCCAAUACAUGGACAUACCAAGUCAAGCAGCAGAAGUCAUUGAAGACAAUCGACCAUUACCAGAUUGGCCCCAAAAUGGCAAUGUGGAGAUUAGGCAUUUGAAGAUCAGGUAUAGGAUAGAUGCUCCCCUUGUACUACAUGGAAUCACUUGCAAUUUUGAAGGUGGAGAUAAGAUUGGUAUAGUUGGUCGAACAGGAAGUGGCAAGACAACGUUAAUUGGUGCAUUGUUUCGCCUUGUUGAACCUGAUGAAGGGAAAAUAUUUAUAGACUCUGUGGAUAUCAGUAUGAUAGGCUUACAUGAUCUGCGGUCGCGUUUGGGUAUCAUUCCACAAGAUCCAACACUUUUUCAGGGUACAAUAAGAUACAAUCUAGAUCCUCUUGGGCAAUUCUCAGAUGAAAAAAUAUGGGAGGUUCUUGCCAAAUGUCAACUUCUUGAAGCUGUCCAGGAGAAGGAACAGGGACUGGAUUCACAUGUUGUGGAAAGUGGGUCAAACUGGAGCAUGGGCCAAAGGCAGCUCUUCUGCCUGGGACGCGCACUUCUGAGAAGGUGUCGUAUCUUAGUUCUUGAUGAAGCCACAGCGUCUAUAGACAAUGCAACAGAUGUUCUCCUUCAGAAGACGAUCCGGACAGAAUUCAAAUAUUGCACUGUUAUUACAGUUGCCCACCGUAUACCAACAGUUAUGGACUGCGAUAUGGUACUUGCAAUGAGCGACGGGAAAGUAGUGGAGUUUGACAAACCUGCAAAGCUCAUGGAAACUGAAGGGUCUCUCUUCCGCGAGCUGGUCAAGGAGUAUUGGUCAUACACUUCGAACACAAAUAUCUAG